AGAUUAUUGUUAACUAAAUGCAUAAAAAAAUGUGUUCAUGCAAAAUUCGAAACGGAUGACAAACAAAUUAUCGAAGUCAUCUCUAAAUGGUUCAUCCAGGCAAAUUACGUCAUGACAGAGAUGAAGAACGAUUACAACGAAAACAAAAAGAACAGCCAUCGGAAUAAAUGUUUCGCUUUUAACUUUGCUUUUUAAUUUAAAAAAGAAGUUACUUUGUGUUCUAAAAAUUUAUAUUGUA